AUAGGCAGCUAUUCAGUUAAAUUUGAAAUUUGCAAGGGAAAAAAUGAUCCUUUACCAGUCAGUUGCAACGGCAUCAAGCAAUACACCCAUUGGUGAGAAGAAUUUGAAUAUUUGAGGAGGUGGGGCGGCAAUGUUUGAAGUUGUUUUUCUAUCUGGUGACUUUGUUGCGAUCCCAGCGCCGAACAUUCCUGGAUUCUGCACAUGAAGGAAACAAUGAAUCAUUUCCAGACACGCUCAUUUUAUUUAUGGUUCAAGGUAUUCAAGGACCUCUUCUCAGUCACCCUCAGCUGAAUGUCACUGAACUCUUUGCUCUUCGACACCAGCUUAAUCUACACAAAGAGAUAUUUCCGAUUGAUAUUUGGAACCCAUGGGAAUUCCGUCAAAGACAAAAUUGUAAUUGCCUACCACGUCCGAGAGGUUUUCCGUGCCAGAUACUUUGCUGUACUGCAGCAUGGUAUUGAAGGCAACGCAGUACCUUGCCAUCAACCUGCCGGCCUCUGAAAACACAAAGAAUCAAAAGGAAACAUUCGGGGCAUGUUGAGCACACAGAACUUUGCAAAUAAUUCAUCACCAGACACUACCUGUAGGUUUAAUAUUGAUGUCUUCAUCCAUAGUGAUCAGGUUGAUCGAAGACAGAGAGUUGAGGUUCUUCAGACACAGUUCUAAAAUUGAAGCGGAGUGACAUCGUUUGACAUGACAAAGUCCUCCAAAGUAACAAAGAGGAAGAUUCUAUGAAGCGGUUUGAAUCAUCUCCAUUUAUCCACACAAUGGAUCAUUCAUCCAAAAGUCCUAGCUAGUCUUCAAUGAAACUCACAUUAUGGAAUGUGGGAGGAUGGCCAUGAAGAAUUCAGUCCAAGAAAAGAAAAAAAAAAGAGCCAAGGCCUACCUUGAAGUUUUGCUUCAAUUCCACAUCUGUCUAUGUUAGCAGAGAAUCCUGAAGGGCGCUCGGAUGUAGAGAAAGGUGGAACGUAUCCAGUCCAGAGCCAUGUUGACGUCGCUGAUGGUUUGGAGAACGAUCUCGGCGUUCAGGUGCUCUACUAGGUGAGUGUGCAAACUGUUCAAAACAAAUUUCAAACUCUAUUUUGUUGUUGCUCUCGCUUUAUGGCUUAUUUUCCAUUUCCUAUUUUGUCCAAAAAAUGUAUCCACAAAAAAAAAAAAAACGCUGUUUGACUUUAAGGCUGCCGUAUCAUCUUUCACUCAGAGAAAAAUUCAAUACCUGCUUUCGAUAAUCUCCAUCCCAUUCAUGACUUUCAUAAGCUUGUCUCUGGUUUGCAUUUUGGUCAUGAUCACUGCUGUGGCAGAUGUGUCAAACUAAGACAAGAAGAUUGACAAGGUAGUAGAAGAUCCAGCGACCAUUCUAUUUUUUGGGAAAUAUUCCAAGGAGUAAGCUUGACUAACUAAUUCUGACUCUACCUGAGGUCUUCCAGCCCGGCCAAUCAUCUGCAGCAGGUCCGAAUCACUGUACUCCUCACAGGAGCCUGCAACAUACUGCAUGGUGGACUUGAUCACCACCAAGUGAGCAGGCAGGUUCACUCCCAUGGCCAGAGUGCGCGUCGUAACUACAAGAUGGAAGUAUCGCAUCAUAAAUGCUCCAUCGAGACAAACGGGAUCACGUGUGACGCGCGGUCGGUCUCACAAAGGACAGGCAGGUCUCCGAGAGCGAAGGCCUUCUCGAUCAAUUUUCUGUCUGAUGCGUCGACUCCAGCGUGGUGGAAACCGACUCCCACUCUCACCAGCUCUGAAGGCCAAACAUAAUGUUAACAUUCAUCCGACUGCCCGGUGAAUUGAUAGAUCACCUUUUAAUUGUGAAUCCAGAAUGGACUGUGCGUAUUCCAUCAACCUGGAAGUCAAGGAGAUGAAGAUCUGACAUCCUUCCAAAGAACAGCAGCUGACUGCUGGGUUCCUUUUCUGGUGGAGCAAAACUAUAGAAGAAGAACAACAAGAACUAUACCAACCCAACCAGACUAAAGUGAUGGCUUUACUUUCAGAGGACACGCACCACUAAAGCAGGCUUCUGGUCGGAGUAGGUCUGUAUGAUUUUGGCCAUCUUGUAAUUGAGAGACAAGUCGAACUUGAACUCUGUUUGGUUCGGGGUACAAGGGAAUCCGAGCACCACUUUCUUCAGUUUCACCGGGCGGUGGAUCUCACCCAACGCCAGAUAGGUAGCCGGACCCUUCUCGCUGGACAACCAGUCGGCAAUCUAAACCCAAGGAGUUGAGAAGAGCGGUCGUAAGCAAGCUCCACGGGAGUCACAAAAGAGAACGGAGAAGGCUGCCCUUACGUCGGAAACAUUAGGUACGGUGGCCGACACAGCCACGAACCUCAUCGAGACGCCCGCGUCGUGACUCUGGAUUGUUCUGAAGGCGUGGAUAGCCUUCAUCCUGCUAACUACCACUUCGAGAGUGGCACCACGGGUUGCAUCCUUCACUACAUGAACCUGGGUGGACCAAAAGAUCAUCUUGAAUGAUGCUUGGUAGAAUACUAAAAAUGGACACACGGACCUCAUCUAUAAGGAAGAGUCUGACCAACUGCAGCAGAGAGUUGUGCUUCCACUUUCUUGUCAUGCUGUCCCAUUUUUCCUGGGUAAAAAAAUAAUCAUCGUUAUACGACAUACUCUACUAAAUCUUUUUUUUUUUUUCCUGCUGCACUGCUGUCACACACUGGAGUGGUCAAGAUGAUAUGGGAG